UUUCUACACAUCCUUUUAGCCACAGCAAGUAGCAUGGUCCAGCCUGAAAGCAGGAGGGGGAAAGAUUUUUGUCUAUAGAUAUGUAAUCAUAUUAUUGGUUUUAGGGUACAGUAUGUGAAGAUGUAUAUUCAAUUGUUAAUUCUGUACCAGCACAGAGCUAAAUGCUGGCACAAUCUUGGUAUUGUUAUUUCUAUGGCUCAUCACAAGUCUUAUAUUUUGUAAAUAUUUGUUCUUUCUCAUCUGCCUAAGGCAAUCUAGAACCAUAUCUGAUUGGCUGUAAUAAAUAUCUGAUGGCCAAUACCUAGAUAGGAAGUGGAAGGCAAUACUUCCUGGGAGAGAGAGGGGUAAACCAAGAGAAAAAAAUAACAUGUAGGAGAGUCAGUCAAAGAACAGGAAUGUGACUUGAGGGACCAGAGUGACACAGAGAGAUAGAUAACCCCUUUAUUGUUCUAAAGCCCAGGAUGUGCCAGGUUAGUUUUAGAGUAUUCAAGAGACUGUCAAGCAAAAGGACUAAACUUUAAAAUAUUAAAUAUCUUCUUGGGGGUAUCUGAGAGAGACCUGCUAUAAUUUGGCCAUGGUCUGAUAAGUUAGUUUCUCUAACCUGGUAUAGUUUACAGAAAACAACAGCAUACGUACCAGUCAACACAAAACGUGUUAACUGUGGAUAGCAUGAUACUAGAAACAGUAUAAGGCCAAGGCACUAUGUAUAAGAGCAUGUGUUGUCAUGACAAAACUAAGCUGAUAGUUUGUGGAAAGGAACCAGUACAGAACCAAUAAAAUACAAACUUCACAUAUGAGUUUAGUGUGGUCUGUGGGUAACCAUGGUGACCUCUCAUGUGAAAAUCCUGCACUGCUGAAAGAGAAGGUGCUGGGUUCUCAUCAGAACCUCCCAACGUCUGCUCUAAUCUGUAGACAGCAUCGAAGGGUGUGUCUUACCUUUGGACACUACCCACUUUUUCCUUUUCUUCCUAUGAUGGUUAUUCUUAUGGACAGCCUAUCAUCUUCAAAGUAGCUCUUCCCUGACCAAUCAGCAAAUUCCUUUCUGAUUCAAUGCCUGAACUAUUCUCUUCCUAAUUAGGCCUCAGCUACUUUAAGUUUAUUUGGUGGUCACAUAUUUUUGGGAAAAGUGUACUUUUCAUUCAUAAUUAAUACUCAGUACUAUUGUUUACUUACAUAUUUACCACAUAGCCUAGGCUAGCCUGGAACUUCCCACAUUGCGAAAGUUACCUUGAAUUUUUUUUCUCUCCCUGCCUCCACCUCCCCAAUGUUGAGAUUAUAAGAUGGGACACCCCACCUAGGGGAAUUUUGAUUCUUUGAUUGCAUCCUUUGAUUAUAAAAUUUCUCUAUUUGGUAAAAUCCAAUGUAUGUAUUUUUUGUUUGUUUGUUUGUUUGUUUGAGACAGAUUCACAUCAUGUUACAACUUCCUGGCCUGGCCUGGAAAUAUGUAAACUAGACUGGCUUCAAACUCACAGAGAUCACCCAGCCUCCUUAAAGGCAUACUCCACCACUCGGAGGCAAGUUUUUUUAUCUCUUGUUAUUUUCAGUAGAUCAUUGAUAUUGUUUCUUGAUACAGUGUCAUGAAAUUUUACUUCUGUGUUUUGUUUAUAGGUUUCUCUUUCUUUUUCUUUUAUUCCCUCUCCUCACCUUAUGAAUCUAUAAUAAAAUCUUCAUGACUUAAAUU
rnacentral:lncRNA from 1 species